rnacentral:lncRNA from 1 species
AAAUCACAUAUUCAUGGUGUAGAUUAAAGAAUUUAGAACUAUCCCAUAACAUAACUUACAAUGAAUACACAAACUAAAUACCUAUCAUUUAAUAUAUUGAAUACACAGGAUGUGCCCAAACCUAAUCUAAGCACAUGAGACGAAUGAAAAUUUGUAGCCCAUUUGCUUCUAGCACAGCAACGACCUGCAAAAUUAAAUAUUAUUCAAGUGAAUCCAAAGUUUUACUGGAUCAUAUUGUAUUCAUUGUUGUUAGAGUAUAUUAGCUGGUAUUCUUCUUCUUUUUUUCCUUCUUCUGCUAAACUUAGUCAAAUUCUGCAAUUAAUCAACUAAGAUAGGAAAAAAAGAAGAAAAAAUUUAUAUGAGAAAGCGAGAGUAAGGAGGCAGAUUGCACCUGGCUAAUAAUUGUUGUCGUUGUUGCUGCCUACACUGAAACAAUAAUAAAAGAUGCAAGUCAUAGUUUAAAUUCAUGAAUAAAGUGAAAAUAAAAGGUUGCAUAACAUUAAAAAAAAAAAAGAAAAAUAGAUGAGAUACACAUUAUCAACAGCUACCUAGAUAUCCUAAAAUUUCAAAUCAAGUCCAAUACUUAUCCUAUAAGGUUAAAGGUAUCUUAUAAUCAUACGAAAUAAGUUGUGAUAUUAAAAUCUUGUAUAACAUCCAUGAAAUCUCAAAUUCAAGCACACAAAAAAGAAAAUAAAAGAAAAGGAAAAAACAAAUUUUCCAUAAAAUCUGUCAAUUAUCCCUUGUAGAGCAACAUCCAAAAAUAACAUAACUAAACUAAAAAAAUAUCGCAUCUCUAUCUAUCUCCUAUCGUCGACACGGUCGUAGUCCAUCUGCGGCGUAACAGAAUGACAACCCAACAGAGUAAUGUUAAGGCUCCAUAAA